CCUACGGGUGGCUGCAGUGAGGAAUAUUGGUCAAUGGGCGCGAGCCUGAACCAGCCACGUCGCGUGAAGGAUGACGGUCCUAUGGAUUGUAAACUUCUUUUGUGCAGGAAUAAAGUGAGGAACGUGUUCCUUUUUGUAUGUACUGUACGAAUAAGCAUCGGCUAACUCCGUGCCAGCAGCCGCGGUAAUACGGAGGAUGCGAGCGUUGUCCGGAUUUAUUGGGUAUAAAGGGUGAUAAGUCAGGGGUGUAAGUUUGCAGCUUAACUGUAAAAUUGCCAUUGAAACUGUUAGUCUUGAGUGCAAAUGAGGUAGGCGGAAUGUGUUGUGUAGCGGUGAAAUGCUUAGAUAUAACAAAGAACUCCGAUUGCGAAGGCAGCUUACUGGGAUGCAACUGACGCUGAUGCACGAAAGCGUGGGUAUCAAACAGGAUUAGAUACCCGUGUAGUC
rnacentral:rRNA from 1 species